AUUGAACGCUGGCGGCAUGCUUUAUACAUGCAAGUCGGACGGCAGCGGGGAGUGCUUGCACUCUGCCGGUGAGUGGCGAACGGGUGAGUAAUGCAUCGGAACGUACCGAGUAAUGGGGGAUAACUGUCCGAAAGGACAGCUAAUACCGCAUACGCCCUGAGGGGGAAAGCGGGGGAUCUUAGGACCUCGCGUUAUUCGAGCGGCCGAUGUCUGAUUAGCUAGUUGGUGGGGUAAAGGCCUACCAAGGCGACGAUCAGUAGCGGGUCUGAGAGGAUGAUCCGCCACACUGGGACUGAGACACGGCCCAGACUCCUACGGGAGGCAGCAGUGGGGAAUUUUGGACAAUGGGCGCAAGCCUGAUCCAGCCAUGCCGCGUGUCUGAAGAAGGCCUUCGGGUUGUAAAGGACUUUUGUCAGGGAAGAGAAGGAGUUGGUUAAUACCCGACUCUGAUGACGGUACCUGAAGAAUAAGCACCGGCUAAUAC
rnacentral:rRNA from 1 species